AGUUUGCAUUGCUUGAGAGCUCGUCAGUUGACAAUGAUCUUGCAGAGUUGAAGAAAGAACUAUCUGGUAACUUAAAGAAAGGAGACCUGCCUCCUGGGAGAGCUGCCGUGAGCGGUACAAACACAGCAUUUCCACUCCGAGAGGCUGAGAUUGAAGAGGAGCUCAAUGUAUUGAGGCAAAAGACACAGAAUUUCUAGUGUUCCCACUUCUCAUGUGCAGACUCUGGACUUCGUAUUUGAAUCCAGAUUUUAGAAAAUUAUUUCCUUCCACAUGGAAUUCAACUUCUCUGUACAGCUGAAGGCUGAAGUUGAAUUAGAAAUUGUAUAUCUCAUGUGUUUGUAUUCAAUAUAGGUGCACUGGCAGGAGAAGAUUCAAACUGGGAAGUUGAAUGCUGAUGUA